GACGGAGGGUGCAAGCGUUGUUCGGAUUGACUGGGCGUAAAGGGCGUGUAGGCGGUCGGCCAAGUCUGAUGUGAAAAGCCCGAGGCUCAGCCUCGGAAGUGCGUCGGAAACUAGUCGGCUGGAGCGCGAUAGAGGAGGGUGGAAUUCCUGGUGUAGCGGUGAAAUGCGCAGAUAUCAGGAGGAACACCGAUGGCGAAGGCAGGUCUCUGGGCAGUAGCUGACGCUGAGGCGCGACAGCGUGGGGGAGCAAACAGG
rnacentral:rRNA from 1 species